CGACCCAGUGGAGAGCGGAAACAUUAUUCCACUUCCUGUAUACACAUCAUAAUUCUGUACAUAUUAUCUUAUGGUUUAUACAGAUUUCUACAUUAUACAUUUUAGACAAAUAUCUAGUAUCUUAGAUACUCAUAGUUGAUAUAUAAAUCAAAACAAUAGAAAGAGAUUAAAUUACUUCAAAUUUAUACCAUAUCGUCUUAUCAACUGUUAUUCAGUGAUUUCUGCAACACAUCACCACUGUAAUAGCGUGUGGUUCUAAGAGAUUAUUGUAGAAACGCAAUCUGUGCAUUUUCGAAAAAAAAAAAAUAUAUAUUAAUAAUAAUAAUAAUGAUAUCUAGUAAAGGAACUGGCUAGCGUAUGAGCCUUGAAUAGCUGCGAUGAAGCUUCGCAGCCGUCCCCACGAACUCGGCCAAGAGGAAGCGCCAUAUUAGCCUUUCAGCUGGGAGGUGGAGAUGGGAGUAAACAUCGUCUUAUUAUCAGGGAUCAUAAUGAGACAGCUGGGAAAGGCAAGGAGAGAAAGAACAGCCAUCACAAGCAGGGCAUCUUUAAGAACCUAAGGAUGUGAGGACCCAACCAACAUCUAUGGUCAAUCAGCUUGGCCAUUACAGCCAGACACAAGACCUUAAAUAUUUGAAGUAUGCCUUCCUAUUCCCUCAUGGUAAAAGCUGAAAAGAAAGCAUUGAUCUUCCUUCAUUAAGACAGGGCAAUCCACAUCAAUGCUUAUUCAUAUAUAUAUAUAUAUAUAUAUAUAUAUAUAUAUAUAUAUAUAUAUAUAUAUAUAUAUAUAUAUAUAUAUAUAUAUAUCAUAUAAAUCCACAUGUCCCCAACAUCCCCCACAACAUGUUCAUGAAUCACAGCUGCCUAUGGUGUGUCAAAUCUAAACUGGCUCACAUGACAUAUUAUAAUCCUACAGGUGAACUGUAGCCACCUCUGCCAAACCACCCCCUCCCUCAGCACCCUAUUUUUUCUC